rnacentral:rRNA from 1 species
UGGGGAAUAUUGGACAAUGGGGGGAACCCUGAUCCAGCCAUGCCGCGUGUGUGAAGAAGGCCUUAUGGUUGUAAAGCACUUUAAGCGAGGAGGAGGGUACUGGUAUUAAUACUACCAGGUACUGGACGUUACUCGCAGAAUAAGCACCGGCUAACUCUGUGCCAGCAGCCGCGGUAAUACAGAGGGUGCGAGCGUUAAUCGGAUUUACUGGGCGUAAAGCGUGCGUAGGCGGCUAAUUGAGUCGGAUGUGAAAUCCCCGAGCUUAACUUGGGAAUUGCAUUCGAUACUGGUUAGCUAGAGUGUGGGAGAGGAUGGUAGAAUUCCAGGUGUAGCGGAGAAAUGCGUAGAGAUCUGGAGGAAUACCGAUGGCGAAGGCAGCCAUCUGGCCUAACACUGACGCUGAGGUGCGAAAGCAUGGGGAGCAAACAGG